AUUGAACGCUGGCGGCAGGCCUAACACAUGCAAGUCGAGCGGAUGAAGGGAGCUUGCUCCUGGAUUCAGCGGCGGACGGGUGAGUAAUGCCUAGGAAUCUGCCUGGUAGUGGGGGAUAACGUCCGGAAACGGGCGCUAAUACCGCAUACGUCCUGAGGGAGAAAGUGGGGGAUCUUCGGACCUCACGCUAUCAGAUGAGCCUAGGUCGGAUUAGCUAGUUGGUGGGGUAAAGGCCUACCAAGGCGACGAUCCGUAACUGGUCUGAGAGGAUGAUCAGUCACACUGGAACUGAGACACGGUCCAGACUCCGACGGGAGGCAGCAGUGGGGAAUAUUGGACAAUGGGCGAAAGCCUGAUACAGCCAUGCCGCGUGUGUGAAGAAGGUCUUCGGAUUGUAAAGCACUUUAAGGUGGGAGGAAGGGCAGUAAGUUAAUACCUUGCUGUUUUGACGUUACCAACAGAAUAAGCACCGGCUAACUUCGUG
rnacentral:rRNA from 1 species